UGUUGUGGAUGAUGAGUUCAUCAAUCAUACAGUUAUCCCUGUCUGAUGCAUUGAUGCUGAUUAUUUGUAUUCUGACACACAU